ncrna:Anabaena variabilis ATCC 29413 HNH endonuclease-associated RNA and ORF (HEARO) RNA
GUAAACAACCCACCACCAAUUAUUGCUAAGAGCAAUAUGGUGGGGGCUUUUAAAGCCCAAAGUUUACCCGACUAAGUGUUAAAUCACUACGAUUUUUAGGUCAUCCUACCUGCAAAUGCGUAGCCAGUUUGUAGCUCUAGGGUCAACAGUUAAACAGGUCUAAUGGGUUAAGCCAGUGCUGUUGACAUAAAAAGCCUUUAAAUCAUUGUCCAGGCUAACAUUAC